UACGGAGGGAGCUAGCGUUGUUCGGAAUUACUGGGCGUAAAGCGCGCGUAGGCGGCUUUGUAAGUUAGAGGUGAAAGCCCGGGGCUCAACUCCGGAACUGCCUUUAAGACUGCAUCGCUUGAAUCCGGGAGAGGUGAGUGGAAUUCCGAGUGUAGAGGUGAAAUUCGUAGAUAUUCGGAAGAACACCAGUGGCGAAGACGGCUCACUGGACCGGUAUUGACGCUGAGGUGCGAAAGCGUGGGGAGCAAACAGG
rnacentral:rRNA from 1 species